AUGUAAAACAAAAAAAAAAAAAAAUCAAUAUUCAUCAUGUAAAAUGCAUACAACAUACACGAUGCAAUUCACUACAUAUUACAUUGUUUGAACUAAUUUGCUAAGAAUAUUACAAAACACAUAUAUUGCUUUAAUCAAACUCUAAUACACAACAAAUUGUUUGCAAAAAAUAAGAAAUUUUUCCGUCAAUUAGCUCUUCUUCCAACAAUCACAGGAUGGUGGUUUUGACAAGCUCUCUUGGCUGAAUUGGGAUCCUUAAACGUUACCUAAUUACAAACAUAAUGAA